AUUGAACGCUGGCGGCAGGCCUAACACAUGCAAGUCGGACGGUAGCACAGAGGAGCUUGCUCCUUGGGUGACGAGUGGCGGACGGGUGAGUAAUGUCUGGGGAUCUGCCCGAUAGAGGGGGAUAACCACUGGAAACGGUGGCUAAUACCGCAUAACGUCGCAAGACCAAAGAGGGGGACCUUCGGGCCUCCCACUAUCGGAUGAAACCAGAUGGGGUUAGCUAGUAGGCGGGGUAAUGGCCCACCUAGGCGACGAUCCCUAGCUGGGCUGAGAGGAUGACCAGCCACACUGGAACUGAGACACGGUCCAGACUCCUACGGGAGGCAGCAGUGGGGAAUAUUGCACAAUGGGCGCAAGCCUGAUGCAGCCAUGCCGCGUGUAUGAAGAAGGCCUUCGGGUUGUAAAGUACUUUCAGCGGGGAGGAAGGCGAUGCGGUUAAUAACCGCGUCGAUUGACGUUACCCGCAGAAGAAGCACCGGCUAACUCCGUGCCAGCCGCCGCCGUAA
rnacentral:rRNA from 1 species